UCCCUGGAGGACCAGUGGUUAGGCCACAGCGCUCUCACUGCUGCAGCCCGGGUUCGAUUCCCAGCCAGGGAA
rnacentral:tRNA from 1 species